rnacentral:rRNA from 1 species
AUUGAACGCUGGCGGCAGGCCUAACACAUGCAAGUCGAACGGUAACAGGAAACAGCUUGCUGUUUCGCUGACGAGUGGCGGACGGGUGAGUAAUGUCUGGGAAACUGCCUGAUGGAGGGGGAUAACUACUGGAAACGGUAGCUAAUACCGCAUAACGUCGCAAGACCAAAGAGGGGGACCUUCGGGCCUCUUGCCAUCGGAUGUGCCCAGAUGGGAUUAGCUAGUAGGUGGGGUAACGGCUCACCUAGGCGACGAUCCCUAGCUGGUCUGAGAGGAUGACCAGCCACACUGGAACUGAGACACGGUCCAGACUCCUACGGGAGGCAGCAGUGGGGAAUAUUGCACAAUGGGCGCAAGCCUGAUGCAGCCAUGCCGCGUGUAUGAAGAAGGCCUUCGGGUUGUAAAGUACUUUCAGCGGGGAGGAAGAGAGUAAAGUUAAUACCUUUACUCAUUGACGUUACCCGAAGAAGAAGCACCGGCUAACUCCGUG